AGAGUUUGAUUAUGGCUCAGGACGAACGCUGGCGGCGUGCCUAACACAUGCAAGUCGAGCGGGGACAUGCGACGGAUAGGAAGAUUCGGUUGGAAUGAAGAUGCAUGUCUAGCGGCGGACGGGUGAGUAACGCGUGAGCAACCUGUCCCUUACAGGGGGAUAACACAGCGAAAGUUGUACUAAUACCGCAUGAGACCACGGGAGGACAUCCUCCAGGGGUCAAAGGAGGAAUCCGGUAAGGGGUGGGCUCGCGUCCGAUUAGAUAGUUGGUGAGGUAACGGCCCACCAAGUCGACGAUCGGUAGCCGACCUGAGAGGGUGAUCGGCCACAUUGGGACUGAGACACGGCCCAAACUCCUACGGGAGGCAGCAGUGGGGAAUAUUGGGCAAUGGGGGAAACCCUGACCCAGCAACGCCGCGUGAGGGAAGAAGGUUUUCGGAUCGUAAACCUCUGUCCUUGGUGAAGAGGAAGAGACGGUAGCCAAGGAGGAAGCCCCGGCUAACUACGUGCCAGCCGCGGC
rnacentral:rRNA from 1 species